UCCGCAGGGCCUGCAAUUCUUAACGGAUUCAACUUUAUUUGAAAGUGUUGUGGAGAAACCACUUACAAGCUCUAAGGUAGACGAUUUUGAUCGAGUUGCUGUGAAAACUGUUUCUUAUGCGAAAGUGAAAACAAGAUUACACAGCUGCUUGAGCUUUGCCCGAAACUUACCGCCGUCUUCCCCUUGUUAAUCUUCUUGUGGUUGUAACUCUAAAACGGUAUCUCAUUAGAACCACAGCUCUCUUUUUCUUCAAAUGAAAGAUCUAGAAACUUCUUCCUCAGAAAAGGUCUUGCUUUCGUAAUACUACUUACUGCUUCAUUUUCGAUGGAACAACUAAAUGAACAAUCCUUGUGGAAACUUGUAGUUUGGGGUACAUUACACUGUCGUUGUUUCUGCAUUGUCAACAAUAGAUAUGCAGAUUGGCUGUAUUCCCCUUCUGCCUCAGGUUUGCUCUUAAAUCAUACUAUCUGCGUACCUUAUUUAUUUGUCCCUUCUAUUUUAGGUUUUCUCUUAAAUCAUAUUCUGCUUGAGAUCCUCUGUUGUUCGGCAGGAAAUUGUCUUCAAAAUGCUAACUUAAUUCCUUGUUACAGUAAUUCAUUUUGGGAUUUGAAGAUUAUACAUCAUACUGUCGGCCUCAAUUGGUAAAGUCGCAGAAGGAUUUUCUUUCAUUAGAGUCUGAGCUUCUAAAUCAUCCUUUUUUUCUUCUUCAAAUUAGUUGAUUUGUUACUUUUGAAUGUUUUUUCAUAUUUGUUUGAAUAGUGAAUUCAUAAUCAAUGAUCUCUAGGUGAAUGAAAUUUAGAGUCAGCCAGAGUCUCAUGACUGGAAUUGCAUGCUUAUAACUUAUAAGUUAUAAGUCAGCUGAACGAUUGUCUAUUAUGUUGCAUGUUGCAGGAAUUUCAUCUAGAACUAGUUCAGCUGCAAGCUUCCAGGGAUCUCCUAUUUCUUCUGGAGUUACAGAUCGUAGCAUUAUUUCUGUUCAGCAGAACCCAGUUUCAUCAGCAAGAUAUGUUAACGGACCUGGUUCUGAAUCUCCCAGGUAUUAUUAAGUUAUUACUACAUAUGUAUUCUUUAGUUUUCUUGAAUUAUACUUAUAUUUCUUUAAUUAUAUAUUUUUUUUUUGUUUAUUAGAUUAUUAUUUUAAUUAUGAUUACUACAUAUGUAUGUCUUAGCUUUCUUGAAUUAUAUAUUUUUGUUUUGUUGGUUAUAUUAUUAUUUUGAUUUUGAUUGCUACAUAUGUAUUUCUUUAGC